UUACGCUCCGCCUCAACCGUAGCCUCCUCAUGAGAGCGAGCGGGUAGGAAUACGCUCCGCUGCCGACGUCGCCUCCUCGCACCAUCGCCGCCUUGCACCGACUCCCAGGUCGCCGGCGGCUCGCACUGGCGCUCAAAUCGCCGUCGGCUCGCACCGACGCCCAGGUUGCGCCGGUUCCUCCCCACCUGCCUCGAUCCCACUGUCCUGACCUAGAGGACAGGCGGCGCCUGUGUUGGAGACUUCGGCCCCAAUGGCGGCGAGGAGUACGGCGCACCUCCAUGAGGACACCUCGUUGCUGCCGCUCGGCGUAGACCGGCACACGUCCCCCUCCUAAAGAUGGAUAUGGAUUAAUUCAUUUCAUGGCAGAUGCCGGUUUUGACCAUGGUUGAUCAUGCUUUGUUCCGUGUUUGACCUGCAACAUAUUUUCUAUGCAUUCGUAGAAAUGGUGACUGAAUAAUUACUAUGUACUGUAGAACAUCUUGCUUAAUACCUGAGUCCCCGACCCUCGUUGCUACAGGUUUAUCUGCCCAAUCACAUGAAUUGAUUUUUUUUCACUCAAAAAGGUUAGAAAUCAACUGCUUUGCAUACACAAUUAAAUAGUGAAUAUCACGUUUAAUUAGCAAAAUUUAAUAGUUCAUACACAAUUAGGAAGUUGCAUGAAGAUUGCAUUAUUCUUUUAGAACAUGUUCUAUUGUAAAGAGAUUGUCAGAGGCAUACCAACACAAUGCCCUGUUUAGUGAAGCUACAAAACCCACUAUCAUAACUGAUAAUUCCGUGUUUUAUUGCCUGGAAUAUUUAUUCUGUUUCGGUGCUGACUAUAUAAUUGGCCCUUUGCUGGUCGAUAUGGUUCCCUUUGAAUGGCAUGAAGGAGGAGGAAUAAGGGUUGCUUCUCACUCCCUUUUGGUCUGUGCUGGCGUGGACGGAGGGUGACCCAGGCUGUUCGACCAAAGGUGGCCAGCGAGCCUCUUGGUCUAUGCAUGUAAAAUUUCUCACUCCCUUUUCUCUUUUCGCGACUUCUUCUGGGGCCUGCCGAAUUGGUUUGCUUGGUGCAGUUGGGAAAAUAAGAUGACCUGGUGAGGUGAGAAAAAGACAUACAAUGGGGGCCUGCCGAAUUGGUGGAGUUGAAGCAUGUGCCCUGCUUACACCAUCUUAGGAACAUGGUAGAGGAAGGUGUUGAUUAAUACACCGUCUCGGUGAACUAGCGAAGGGCUUGCCGGCUUGGUAACAUAGCAGAUGUUCAGAUGGCACAACCGACCAGCACCGGCACCGGUGACGUGGACGGACGAACCUGCGACUAGACAAAAGUAACGGCCACGCACAACGAGAUUAUCCGGUGAGUCUCCUUUUGGUUUGUACUAUGCAACACACAUAAUCCAGUGACUCAUCAACUCUGGCGAGUCUCCUUUAAUUUCUUCUUUAAUUCUCUAGUGAGCCAUGCAACUGAUCCGUACCGUACUACAGUAUUAGCUGCAGAAAUUCUUGAGUUAGAUGGAAUCCAUACUACAGUAUCAGGCUGGAGUUUUUUAGUUAUAUAGAAUUAAUUAGGGGCGACAAUUUGUUGUUUAUCCUCACAAAUAUGUACUAUAAAUUAGGCAUGACAAAAUCACUCUCUUGUUUGGAUUUAAUUUGCAACGAUCUGUCUGCUUGUGUUUGUGUAGUCAUUAAGAGGAAGUCAAUGCUUUCUUUUUUGAAUUAAAAAUAGCAAUGUUAAUUUGUUUC